rnacentral:rRNA from 1 species
UACAGAGGUCCCAAGCGUUGUUCGGAUUCACUGGGCGUAAAGGGUGCGUAGGUGGCGAGGUAAGUCGGAUGUGAAAGCUCGGAGCUCAACUCCGAAAUGGCAUUGGAAACUACCUUGCUCGAGGGUUGGAGGGGGGACUGGAAUUCUCGGUGUAGCAGUGAAAUGCGUAGAUAUCGAGAGGAACACCAGUGGCGAAGGCGAGUCCCUGGACACAUAUUGACGCUGAGGUGCGAAAGCGUGGGGAGCAAACAGG